rnacentral:lncRNA from 1 species
CCAUCAUUGCCUUUCAGGUCACUUUAGAGUGAAAAGUUCUUGAGCUAUCACUUAGCGAAGUCAUGGUUCACACCAGCCACUGAAAGAAACAUCACUGAUUGAUUGCAAUCUCUAAAAUGGGGACUUCACAUACUCUAAGGGAAUCUUCAAAGUGAUGGUAUGGUUUACGCAGUGGAUUUAUUGUUACCAUCUCAGAGGAAGUUACAAAUCGUAUGUGUAAAACCUAGAAGCAGAAAGAGGGCUGAAGAUGUGAUGGUGUGUACCAUAAGAAAAUAAGGGAAGCAAACGUUCACUGAGAUGAAACAGAACAAGAUAUUAGGAGCUAUGUAAAACUGAGAGAGAGACUUGUGGCAUCGUAAGAAGGUCCAGGCGGUAACUGUUGGU